rnacentral:rRNA from 1 species
GACGAACGCUGGCGGCGUGCUUAACACAUGCAAGUCGAGCGGUAAGGCCCUCGGGUACACGAGCGGCGAACGGGUGAGUAACACGUGGGUGACCUGCCUCUAGCUCUGGGAUAAGCCUGGGAAACUGGGCCUAAUACCGGAUAUGACUCCACGGCGCAUGUUGUGGGGUGGAAAGCCUUGAGUGGCUAGAGAUGGGCCCGCGGCCUAUCAGCUUGUUGGUGGGGUGAUGGCCUACCAAGGCGACGACGGGUAGCCGGCCU